rnacentral:lncRNA from 1 species
CCCUAAUCAGAGCACCUUUAUAAUUUUUGAAGUAAUAUUUUCUUGAACAAACAAAAAUCUUAGAGGUAUUAUAGCUUAUCUUGAGGUUUAUGAAAUGAUAACGAUUCUUUUCAUUCGAUCUUUUAAGAAUCUUUUUGGCUCUCUUAUCAAACUUCCUUUUGAAGCUUUUAUAUUUCUUUGUAUAUGAUUUAUCUGGUUGAGAUCUGGAUU